rnacentral:rRNA from 1 species
GAUGAACGCUGGCGGCGUGCUUAACACAUGCAAGUCGAACGAUGAAGCCCAGCUUGCUGGGCGGAUUAGUGGCGAACGGGUGAGUAACACGUGAGUAACCUGCCCUUGACUCUGGGAUAAGCCCGGGAAACUGGGUCUAAUACCGGAUAGGAGCGCCUGUCGCAUGACGGGUGCUGGAAAGAUCUUUCGGUCAUGGAUGGACUCGCGGCCUAUCAGCUUGUUGGUGAGGUAACGGCUCACCAAGGCGACGACGGGUAGCCGGCCUGAGGGGGUGACCGGCCACACUGGGACUGAGACACGGCCCAGACCCCUACGGGAGGCAGCAGUGGGGAAUAUUGCACAAUGGGCGAAAGCCUGAUGCAGCGACGCCGCGUGAGGGAUGACGGCCUUCGGGUUGUAAACCUCUUUCAGCAGGGAAGAAGCGAAAGUGACGGUACCUGCAGAAGAAGCACCGGCUAACUACGUG